rnacentral:rRNA from 1 species
AGCAGCCGCGGUAAUUCCAGCUCCAAUAGCGUAUAUUAAAGUUGUUGCAGUUAAAAAGCUCGUAGUUGAAUUUCGGGACCAAUAUGUCGGUCGUGCCUCGGUACGUACUGGUGUCAUUGGUUUCUCUCUUCUGAGGAUCCUUGAUGUCAUUAAUUUGGUGUCUUGGGAAAUCAGGACUGUUACCUUGAAAAAAUUGAGUGUUUAAAGCAGGCAUACGCUUGAAUACAUUAGCAUGGAAUAAUGAAAUAGGACGUUCGAUUCUAUUUUGUUGGUUUCUAGGAUCGACGUAAUGAUUAAUAGGGAUAGUUGGGGGCAUUAGUAUUCAAUUGUCAGAGGUGAAAUUCUUGGAUUUAUUGAAGACUAACUACUGCGAAAGCAUUUGCCAAGGAUGUUUUCAUUAAUCAAGAACGAAAGUUAGGGGAUCGAAGACGAUCAGAUACCGUCGUAGUC